CAGCUGGAUAGAUAGUUCUGACAAAACCUGGAAGUCUGCUAGUACCUAGAAGAGCUCCAUAGGAAGUUACCAUGGAAACUGACAUUUUCUUUGCAACAUGUUUGAUCGGAAAAGGACAUGGAGUACUUGAUUUCUCUAGUGUCAUCUUUCUGGAAUGUCCCUCAUUGAGAGAUCAAACCUGGUGACCUUAGGGGGAAAACACUAUCUUCUUUGUUGGUGUUCUACAAAUGAAAUCAUGAGCCCUGUUGCAGGCUGUUGAGGAGGAUGUCUUUAAAAGUUACACGUGGAGUGAAGAGAGGGAGACAGCUGUUAUAGGGCGAAGGAUCCCAGAAAGGCUGUUUUCUUAAGCCCUUGCCUUAAUCUAAGUAUCCUUGAAAGACAGAAAGGAUCACAGAAAAGGUUGUUUCUUUAGUCCAAUGCUGGAAAGGGAAGACUCGUAAGUUCCCCAUUGCUGCCAAUGGACCAUAUCUUCCCAGAUGUUUCAGUUGCCAAGCCAAAAGUGACUUUUUUUCCCCAUUAGCUGAUUUCAGGAGACUUCUGAAAACAUAUCCAGGUUCUUUCAACCGUAACUAGGAUUGUACAACUGUGGAGCUGUCUGCAUUUGUCUUGAGCACCGAGAGCAUAAAUCACAGCACCACCAGUCUUUGGCAGUCAAUCGAGGAGAAAACACUGUCUGAAUCCAAGCUGUCUUCUUUAACAAUCUCUGAGACUGAUGAUUGAUAAAGAAGCCCUGUA